rnacentral:rRNA from 1 species
GGGACACGUGGUAUCCUGUCUGAAUAUGGGGGGACCAUCCUCCAAGGCUAAAUACUCCUGACUGACCGAUAGUGAACCAGUACCGUGAGGGAAAGGCGAAAAGAACCCCGGCGAGGGGAGUGAAAAAGAACCUGAAACCGUGUACGUACAAGCAGUGGGAGCACCUUCGGGUGUGACUGCGUACCUUUUGUAUAAUGGGUCAGCGACUUAUAUUCUGUAGCAAGGUUAACCGUAUAGGGGAGCCGCAGGGAAACCGAGUCUUAACUGGGCGUUAAGUUGCAGGGUAUAGACCCGAAACCCGGUGAUCUAGCCAUGGGCAGGUUGAAGGUUGGGUAACACUAACUGGAGGACCGAACCGACUAAUGUUGAAAAAUUAGCGGAUGACUUGUGGCUGGGGGUGAAAGGCCAAUCAAACCGGGAGAUAGCUGGUUCUCCCCGAAAGCUAUUUAGGUAGCGCCUCGUGAAUUCAUCUUCGGGGGUAGAGCACUGUUUCGGCUAGGGGGUCAUCCCGACUUACCAACCCGAUGCAAACUACGAAUACCGAAGAAUGUUAUCACGGGAGACACACGGCGGGUGCUAACGUCCGUCGUGAAGAGGGAAACAACCCAGACCGCCAGCUAAGGUCCCAAAGUCAUGGUUAAGUGGGAAACGAUGUGGGAAGGCACAGACAGCCAGGAUGUUGGCUUAGAAGCAGCCAUCAUUUAAAGAAAGCGUAAUAGCUCACUGGUCGAGUCGGCCUGCGCGGAAGAUGUAACGGGGCUAAACCAUGCACCGAAGCUGCGGCAGCGACACUAUGUGUUGUUGGGUAGGGGAGCGUUCUGUAAGCCUGCGAAGGUGUGCUGUGAGGCAUGCUGGAGGUAUCAGAAGUGCGAAUGCUGACAUAAGUAACGAUAAAGCGGGUGAAAAGCCCGCUCGCCGGAAGACCAAGGGUUCCUGUCCAACGUUAAUCGGGGCAGGGUGAGUCGACCCCUAAGGCGAGGCCGAAAGGCGUAGUCGAUGGGAAACAGGUUAAUAUUCCUGUACUUGGUGUUACUGCGAAGGGGGGACGGAGAAGGCUAUGUUAGCCGGGCGACGGUUGUCCCGGUUUAAGCAUGUAGGCUGGUUGUCCAGGCAAAUCCGGAUAAUCAAGGCUGAGGUGUGAUGACGAGGCACUACGGUGCUGAAGUAACAAAUGCCCUGCUUCCAGGAAAAG